rnacentral:lncRNA from 1 species
CAUCUCCGGACCAGAUCAAAUCACAUGCAAUCGAGAUUGCACUUAAUACAUGCAAGUCAAGUGGACCUUAAGAGGGUGCUUGGUUUAUAUCUAGAAUCGGAAUCAAAAUGAAACUUGGAAUGGAUUAGAAUAAAAAUUGAAAUGACCAAAUCCUUCAAAAUAUUUGGUUUAUGAUCGGAAUUAGAAUCAUAAUGAAAAUUUAAAUCCAUAGGAGAGAGUAGGAAUUGAGUUUUAGAAGAUGCUUAGUUGUGGGGAGUGGGGGUCA